AGCAGCCACGGUAAUUCCAGCUCCAAUAGCGUAUAUUAAAGUUGUUGCAGUUAAAAAGCUCGUAGUUGAAUUUCGAGCUCGACAAGUGGUCUUGCGAUAAGCUAGUACUACCUUGUUGAGCUCUUCCUUCUAGGAAACUAAGAUGCUCUUUACUGGGUGUUUUAGCGAACUAGAACUUUUACUGUGAAAAAUUAGAGUGUUUAAAGCAGGCUUUCGCUUGAAUACAUUAGCAUGGAAUAAUAGAAUAGGACUUUGGUUCUAUUUUGUUGGUUUCUAGGACCGAAGUAAUGAUUAAUAGGGAUAGUUGGGGGCAUUAGUAUUGAACUGUCAGAGGUGAAAUUCUUGGAUUUGUUCAAGGCUAACAACUGCGAAAGCAUUUGCCAAGGAUGUUUUCAUUAAUCAAGAACGAAAGUUAGGGGAUCGAAGACGAUUAGAUACCGUCGUAGUCUUAACCAUGAACUAUGCCGACUAGGGAUCGGUGGCAGUCUUUUAGACUCCAUCGGCACCUUAUGGGAAACCAAAGU
rnacentral:rRNA from 1 species